ACGCACGCUGGCGGCGUGCUUCACCCCUGCCAGUCGCACGGAAAGGCCCUGCUUUUGUGGGGUGCUCGAGUGGCGAACGGGUGAGUAACACGUGAGUAACCUGCCCUUGACUUUGGGAUAACUUCAGGAAACUGGGGCUAAUACCGGAUAGGAGCUCCUGCUGCAUGGUGGGGGUUGGAAAGUUUCGGCGGUUGGGGAUGGACUCGCGGCUUAUCAGCUUGUUGGUGGGGUAGUGGCUUACCAAGGCUUUGACGGGUAGCCGGCCUGAGAGGGUGACCGGCCACAUUGGGACUGAGAUACGGCCCAGACUCCUACGGGAGGCAGCAGUGGGGAAUAUUGCACAAUGGGCGGAAGCCUGAUGCAGCAACGCCGCGUGCGGGAUGACGGCCUUCGGGUUGUAAACCGCUUUCGCCUGUGACGAAGCGUGAGUGACGGUAAUGGGUAAAGAAGCACCGGCUAACUACGU
rnacentral:rRNA from 1 species